rnacentral:rRNA from 1 species
GACGAACGCUGGCGGCGUGCUUAACACAUGCAAGUCGAACGGUGAAGCGCCUUCCUUUUUGGUGGGUGUGGAUGAGUGGCGAACGGGUGAGUAACACGUGAGUAACCUGCCCCCUUCUUCUGGAUAACCGCAUGAAAGUGUGGCUAAUACGGGAUAUUCUGGGUCUGUCGCAUGAUGGGUCUGGGAAAGAUAUUGUUUCGGUGGGGGAUGGGCUCGCGGCCUAUCAGCUUGUUGGUGGGGUGAUGGCCUACCAAGGCGGUGACGGGUAGCCGGCCUGAGAGGGUGGACGGUCACACUGGGACUGAGACACGGCCCAGACUCCUACGGGAGGCAGCAGUGGGGAAUAUUGCACAAUGGGCGCAAGCCUGAUGCAGCGACGCCGCGUGAGGGAUGGAGGCCUUCGGGUUGUGAACCUCUUUCACCAGUGAAGCAGGCCUGCCUCGUUUGUGGGUGGGUUGACGGUAGCUGGAGAAGAAGCGCCGGCUAACUACGUG